GACGAACGCUGGCGGCGUGCUUAACACAUGCAAGUCGAACGGAAAGGCCCUGCUUUUGUGGGGUGCUCGAGUGGCGAACGGGUGAGUAACACGUGAGUAACCUGCCCUUGACUUUGGGAUAACUUCAGGAAACUGGGGCUAAUACCGGAUAGGAGCUCCUGCUGCAUGGUGGGGGUUGGAAAGUUUCGGCGGUUGGGGAUGGACUCGCGGCUUAUCAGCUUGUUGGUGGGGUAGUGGCUUACCAAGGCUUUGACGGGUAGCCGGCCUGAGAGGGUGACCGGCCAAAUUGGGACUGAGAUACGGCACAGACUCCUACGGGAGGCAGCAGUGGGGAAUAGUGCACAAUGGGCGGAAGCCUGAUGCAGCAACGCCGCGUGCGGGAUGACGGCCUUCGGGUUGUAAACCGCUUUCGCCUGUGACGAAGCGUGAGUGACGGUAAUGGGUAAAGAAGCACCGGCUAACUACGUG
rnacentral:rRNA from 1 species